rnacentral:tRNA from 1 species
GGUAGUGUGGCCGAGCGUCAGGUGGCGAGUUGUAGCCUCGCAGACUGGGAAACACCCACGCUACCAAGCC